ACGGCCUGAUCGUCCCAGACUUUCGAGGCCAGGAGGAUGGCUCCCAGAACAAUCCUCUUCCAGUUAGAUGGGCAAAUGUCCAGCUCGGCAUACGUCAACAGCCUCUCCAAAUAUACCUGCAGCAAAGACAGUGGACAUAAUACACUGAAAGUGAACCAGACCAGUCAGAAAGGCAGCCAUUCUCUUACCAGAGUGACGAUCGCACACUCGGCUGUGAGCUGUGCUGCACUGAACAGUGUCCGGACGAAUCGAUAGAUGAGUUUGUGUUCGGGGUCUGUGCGGGAGUAAUCAUCAGGAACCUGCUCCCUCUGCCAAAGGUUGGGCUGACUAACGGUACUGUCAUCAAUGAAUAUCGUAGAGCAGGAGCUGUACUUCUUGGAAACCAGACCAGGUGAGACCUUCAGAAAGAAUUAACAUUUAAUACACUUACAACUAUAUAACCAAGCACAGCC